GGACGCCGAAGGACAGCAGAGUUGGUUGAUGGAGAGCAUCUGGUCAGCCUCCUGGCGUGCGUGGCAGGGCUGAGAAGGUGGCAAGUGAAUAUGGGGCUGGGGCUGGAAGACAUCCACGGCAGAUGACUGUAAGUGCUAUGGAGAAAAAUAAAGUAGGAAAGAGAGACAAGGAGGAAAUAGGGUAAGGAACAGAAAGAUAAAGAGAUUGCGACUUACCUGAGGUCACACACCGGUAAGGAGUGGAGUUGGUACUUUGGUUCCGGAAUCUAUGCUCCUAACUAUGCUAUGCUGCUUCUUAUUUCAUCUGGAAGAGUGUACACAUACAUGCUUAAAAUUAAUAAGAGUUUAGCAAGUUUGAUGGAUACAAAAAUUAAUUUAUUUCUAUGAGCCAAAAACAAAUAGUUAAAAAUGACACAAGAGCGUUAAAAAUUAUCAAGUGUUCAGAAUAAAUCUAUGAAAAGAUACACAAUGCUGCAUGGAAAACGUUUUUUAAAAUGGAGGGAUUUUAAAGACCUAAGUAAAUGGUGACAUAAUUCAUCUUCAAGAAUUGAAGAUUGCAUAUUGUAAAGAUGUCAGUUUACCCUAAAUGAUGUAUAAUUCAACGUAAUCCCAAUCAAAAUCCCAUCAAUGACUGUAUGUGUAAAUUGAUUAGCUAAUGCUAAAAUUAUGUGAAACUUCCAGAGGAAGAAUAACCAAGUCAAUUCUAAAGAAAGUCAAAGCUGGAGGAUUUUAAACUCCAGAUAUAAAGGCUUAUUACAAAGCAAUAGUAAUUGAGUGAGUCUGGUAUUGGGGCAUGUACAGAGAAGAGUUGACAUGCACAGCAAGCCUGAGAGCUAGCGUUUGGUAGGACUGUUUAGAGAGGUUGGCCUUGGCUGGUGUCUGAGAGCUUGAAUUUUGGGAGGGUUUCCACCACUUUAACAGAUAAGUGUGGCUAACUAUGCCUAAACUCUUUGUGCAAACAAUUUGGUUUAUACUUAACACCUGAGUCUAGAAUUUUUGCGUAUUCCAGGCAAAGCAUGCCCAUUGACAAGCCGCCAAUAAAAACUUUGGGUGCUAAGUCUCUAAUGAGCUUCCCUUUGACCUAACAAUUCUAUUCCUGGGAAUAUAUUUUAGAGCUGCUUGU
ensembl:lncRNA